rnacentral:rRNA from 1 species
GGGUCAGUAGGUUGGUCGUGCCACCGGUACGUACUGGUCUCACUGAUUCCUCCUUCCUGAAGAACCGUAGUGCCAUUAAUUUGGUGUUGCGGGGAAACAGGACUGUUACUUUGAAAAAAUUAGAGUGUUUAAAGCAGGCUAACGCUUGAAUACGUUAGCAUGGAAUAAUGAAAUAGGACGAUCGAUCCUAUUUUGUUGGUUUCUAGGAUUGACGUA